GAUGAACGCUGGCGGCGUGCCUAAUACAUGCAAGUCGAGCGAACAGACGAGGAGCUUGCUCCUCUGACGUUAGCGGCGGACGGGUGAGUAACACGUGGAUAACCUACCUAUAAGACUGGGAUAACUUCGGGAAACCGGAGCUAAUACCGGAUAACAUGUUGAACCGCAUGGUUCAACAGUGAAAGACGGUCUUGCUGUCACUUAUAGAUGGAUCCGCGCCGCAUUAGCUAGUUGGUAAGGUAACGGCUUACCAAGGCAACGAUGCGUAGCCGACCUGAGAGGGUGAUCGGCCACACUGGAACUAAGACACGGUCCAGACUCCUACGGGAGGCAGCAGUAGGGAAUCUUCCGCAAUGGGCGAAAGCCUGACGGAGCAACGCCGCGUGAGUGAUGAAGGUCUUCGGAUCGUAAAACUCUGUUAUUAGGGAAGAACAAAUGUGUAAGUAACUAUGCACGUCUUGACGGUACCUAAUCAGAAAGCCACGGCUAACUACGUG
rnacentral:rRNA from 1 species